rnacentral:rRNA from 1 species
UACGGGGGGGGCAAGCGUUGUUCGGAAUUACUGGGCGUAAAGGGCUCGUAGGUGGCCAACUAAGUCAGACGUGAAAUCCCCAGGCUCAACUUGGGAACUGCGUCUGAUACUGGAUGGCUUGAAUUCGGGAGAGGGAUGCAGAAUUCCAGGUGUAGCGGUGAAAUGCGUAGAUAUCUGGAGGAAUACCGGUGGCGAAGACGGCAUCCUGGACCGAGAUUGACACUGAUGAGCGAAAGCUAGGGGAGCAAACGGG